rnacentral:misc_RNA from 1 species
GUAUGGAAAGUUUGGUAUGUUCGAGGAGGAUAAUUCGAUCGAUUCAGAUCGUCUGGGACGAGGAGGUAGUCUGCAUAGCUGGAAACACGGCCAAGCAAACUGACAUCUGGCUUGGAUGUCUUUUCUCCGUAUAAAGAGGAGAAUGAGGAAUCGCAGCUAGAAAAAGGAUUCCCUGGUGCGUGUCAAUAUUUGUUAGCCUUUUCCACAUGAUGGUUCUCGACUUCGUGGAAAUGUAGCUCUGUGCAUGGAAAAGGUCUCUUCCGUAUCUGCCAGAAAUUUAUAAAUAAUGGCACAAGAUAAUGAACAGAGGUAGCACAAGUUACAUCGUCGUCCGGAAGCUUGGGAUUAUUUGUGGCCUUUUAAGCGAGCAGCGCUGCACUAAAACACUACUGGUAAAGGCCAUAAUUAGGCUGUGGCACGCCUUUUUCGUCAAUUUCCUUUUCUUCCAUGAAUUCUAAAUAUAUACAGAAUAUAUAGCAAUCAGAAACUUUUUGAACGCUGCUAUAUAUAUUGGACCUUCUCGAUGAAUAUAUUUGGUCCAAAUUGUGGCCAUUUAGGUGGACAAUAUUCUACUGUAAUGCAGUCAAACGCA